UACUUUUUCUCAAUUCCUCCAAAACCCAAAAACCCAACUAACAAAAUCUAACCGAUGGAAAGACCGUGGCCGGAGAAAAAUGUUUUAUUGCCGCUGGUGAACAUGUGGACGCCGGAGAAGAAUGGUAUGUUGCCGCGGAUGAAAAAACCACCGUACAUGCACACCCACCAUCUCAUCAAUCACCAAAUAUUAAAGAAAAUAUUUUAUUUUCUCUCUGAAGCAUUUUAACUAACACCUAGGAAGCAAAAAUGGCAGCCAAACUGAGACAGACUUUUGGAUUGGCUGCAAGAGACCCAUCUGAGAAACAUGAUGAAUGGAGCACUUAUGUUUACCCUCUUGUUCAUGGGUCCUUGAGUUUCUGUGCUCCGAAGAAGAAGCUAACUCGAGAGUAAAUUAAAAAUUCAUAUAUGCAGCAUAUCAAAGCAAAGUGGUUUUCAUCUUCUAUGGUGGUUCUUGAGGCGGAGGCGGCAGUUGGAGUUUAAAGGUAGAGUCGGAGCAAAAGUA